UACGUAGGGUGCGAGCGUUAAUCGGAAUUACUGGGCGUAAAGCGUGCGCAGGCGGUUCGUUGUGUCCGAUGUGAAAGCCCCGAGCUCAACUUGGGAAUGGCAUUGGAAACUGGCGGGCUGGAGUGUGGCAGAGGGGGGUGGAAUUCCACGUGUAGCAGUGAAAUGCGUAGAGAUGUGGAGGAACACCGAUGGCGAAGGCAGCCCCCUGGGCCAACACUGACGCUCAGGCACGAAAGCGUGGGGAGCGAACGGG
rnacentral:rRNA from 1 species